CCUACGGGUGGCAGCAGUGGGGAAUAUUGCGCAAUGGGCGAAAGCCUGACGCAGCGACGCCGCGUGAGGGAUGAAGGUUCUAUGGAUCGUAAACCUCUUUUAUAAGGGAAUAAAGUGUGGGACGUGUCCUAUUUUGUAUGUACCUUAUGAAUAAGGAUCGGCUAACUCCGUGCCAGCAGCCGCGGUAAUACGGAGGAUCCGAGCGUUAUCCGGAUUUAUUGGGUUUAAAGGGUGCGUAGGCGGCCUUUUAAGUCAGCGGUGAAAGUCUGUGGCUCAACCAUAGAAUUGCCGUUGAAACUGGGGGGCUUGAGUAUGUUUGAGGCAGGCGGAAUGCGUGGUGUAGCGGUGAAAUGCUUAGAUAUCACGCAGAACCCCGAUUGUGAAGGCAGCCUGCCAAGCCAUGACUGACGCUGAUGCACGAAAGCGUGGGGAUCAAACAGGAUUAGAUACCCUUGUAGUC
rnacentral:rRNA from 1 species